rnacentral:rRNA from 1 species
UACGUAGGAGGCGAGCGUUGUCCGGAUUCAUUGGGCGUAAAGAGCACGCAGGCGGUUUGGCAAGUCGGAUGUGAAAGCCCGGAGCUCAACUCCGGACCUGCAUCCGAAACUGCCCGACUAGAGGUAGGUAGGGGAGAUCGGAAUUCCUGGUGUAGCGGUGAAAUGCGCAGAUAUCAGGAGGAACACCGGUGGCGAAGGCGGAUCUCUGGGCCUUACCUGACGCUCAGGUGCGAAAGCUAGGGAGCGAACAGG